rnacentral:rRNA from 1 species
UACGGAGGGGGCUAGCGUUGUUCGGAAUUACUGGGCGUAAAGCGCACGUAGGCGGCUUUGUAAGUUAGAGGUGAAAGCCCGGGGCUCAACCCCGGAACUGCCUUUAAGACUGCAUCGCUUGAAUCCAGGAGAGGUGAGUGGAAUUCCGAGUGUAGAGGUGAAAUUCGUAGAUAUUCGGAAGAACACCAGUGGCGAAGGCGGCUCACUGGCCUGGUAUUGACGCUGAGGUGCGAAAGCGUGGGGAUCAAACAGG